AUUCCUACGGGAGGCAGCAGUGGGGAAUAUUGCACAAUGGGCGAAAGCCUGAUGCAGCAACGCCGCGUGGAGGAUGAAGGUUUUCGGAUUGUAAACUCCUUUGACCGGGGAUGAAAAAAAUGACAGUACCCGGAAAACAAGCCACGGCUAACUACGUGCCGGCAGCCGCGGUAAUACGUAGGUGGCAAGCGUUGUCCGGAAUUAUUGGGCGUAAAGGGCGCGUAGGCGGUCCCUUAAGUCAGAUGUGAAAUCCCGAGGCUUAACCUCGGGCGUGCAUUUGAAACUGGGGGACUAGAGUGCAGGAGAGGUAAGUGGAAUUCCUAGUGUAGCGGUGAAAUGCGUAGAUAUUAGGAGGAACACCAGUGGCGAAGGCGACUUACUGGACUGUAACUGACGCUGAGGCGCGAAAGCGUGGGGAGCAAACAGGAUUAGAUACCCUGGUAGUCCACGCUGUAAACGAUGGAUACUAGGUGUGGGAGGUAUCGACCCCUUCCGUGCCGCAGUAAACGCAAUAAGUAUCCCGCCUGGGGAGUACGGCCGCAAGGUUGAAACUCAAAGGAAUUGACGGGGGCCCGCACAAGCAGCGGAGCAUGUUGUUUAAUUCGAAGCAACGCGAAGAACCUUACCAGGACUUGACAUCCUCUGCAUUACUCGUAACUGAGGAAAUCCUUCGGGACAGAGAGACAGGUGGUGCAUGGUUGUCGUCAGCUCGUGUCGUGAGAUGUUGGGUUAAGUCCCGCAACGAGCGCAACCCUUAUCAUUAGUUGCUAACAGUAAGAUGAGCACUCUAAUGAGACUGCCGAGGAUAACUCGGAGGAAGGUGGGGAUGACGUCAAAUCAUCAUGCCCCUUAUGUUCUGGGCUACACACGUGCUACAAUGGUCGGUACAGAGGGUUGCCAAGCCGCGAGGUGGAGCUAAUCCCAGAAAACCGAUCGUAGUCCGGAUCGCAGUCUGCAACUCGACUGCGUGAAGUCGGAAUCGCUAGUAAUCGCGAAUCAGAAUGUCGCGGUGAAUACGUUCA
rnacentral:rRNA from 1 species